AAAAGUGGUUGCAUACCGUUGCUUACUCAUCGUUUUGUUUACGACCAGAACUUGUGUUAAGCUCAGUGUAGGGAUGUGCAGGCUUUCAGUCGUAUUUGUGUAAUGUGGUGCUAACAGGUCGUCGAGCUUCUGUUGCCCACUACCUGCUGGGAAUCCACCGGAUUCCUUUGACUGGGUAUCGGGAGUGAACGGCAUAUUUACUUUGAACAAAUUUAAAUGCUCAAGGCAGGCAUUUGUGCCUAGAAAUUCUUGUCUGAAAUAAUGACACAGGACUUCAGUUCUGUUUUGUUGACUUUUGGAUCCGAAGUAAUGGUGCAUGUGUAUAGCAGCGUUAGAGUUGGGAUUCUGUGGUCACCACCAGAAAAACUACGGAAAAAGUAUUUCCCAAGAGUGUUUUCAUUGAGUCAGAGUUUCAUAGACGAUCAGAUAUCGUCAUAGUUCUGACAGUAAACAAUGGCGGCUGACGACAUGAGAUGGUCCUAUAAUUGACAUUAAGGGCAGUUCCCAGAAAACGUUUAAGUCUUUGGGAU
rnacentral:ncRNA from 1 species